rnacentral:rRNA from 1 species
GAGUUUGAUCCUGGCUCAGAAUGAACGCUGGCGGCAUGCCUAACACAUGCAAGUCGAACGAGAUCUUCGGAUCUAGUGGCGCACGGGUGAGUAACGCGUGGGAACCUACCUUUUAGUACGGGACAACGUUUGGAAACGAACGCUAAUACCGUAUACGCCCUCCGGGGGAAAGGUCAGCCGCUGAAAGAGGGGCCCGCGUCUGAUUAGCUUGUUGGUAAGGUAACGGCUUACCAAGGCAACGAUCAGUAGCUGGUCUGAGAGGAUGAUCAGCCACACUGGGACUGAGACACUGUCCGGACACCUACGGGUGGCUGCAGUCGAGAAUCUUCCGCAAUGGACGAAAGUCUGACGGAGCGACGCCGCGUGAGGGAUGAAGGCCCUAGGGUUGUAAACCUCUGACAAAUGUUAGGAAUAAGUAUGUAUUAAUAGUACAUGCGAUGACAAAUGCAUUAGAGGAAGUCACGGCUAAAUACGUGCCAGCAGCCGCGGUAAUACGUAUGUGGCGAGCGUUGUUCGGAAUCACUGGGCAUAAAGAGUUCGUAGGCGGAUAAAUCAGUUGGGUGUGAAAUCCCGGGGCUCACCCCCGGAACUGCACUCAAUACUGUUUAUCUGGAGUCCUUCAGGGGUAAGUGGAAUUCCAUGUGUAGCGGUGAAAUGCGUAGAUAUAUGGGAGAACGCCAAUGGCGAAGGCAGCUUACUGGGGAGUGACUGACGCUGAGGAACGAAAGUUAGGGUAUCGAACGGGAUUAGAUACCCCGGUAGUCCUAACCGUAAACGGUGUGCACUAUGUGAUGGUCCUUUCUGAGGGAUCGUUGCAGUAGCUAAUGCGUUAAGUGCACCGGCUGGGUAGUACGAU